GAUGAACGCUGGCGGCGUGCCUAAUACAUGCAAGUCGAGCGAACAGACGAGGAGCUUGCUCCUCUGACGUUAGCGGCGGACGGGUGAGUAACACGUGGAUAACCUACCUAUAAGACUGGGAUAACUUCGGGAAACCGGAGCUAAUACCGGAUAAUAUAUUGAACCGCAUGGUUCAAUAGUGAAAGACGGUUUUGCUGUCACUUAUAGAUGGAUCCGCGCCGCAUUAGCUAGUUGGUAAGGCAACAGCUUACCAAGGCAACGAUGCGUAGCCGACCUGAGAGGGUGAUCGGCCACACUGGAACUGAGACACGGUCCAGACUCCUACGGGAGGCAGCAGUAGGGAAUCUUCCGCAAUGGGCGAAAGCCUGACGGAGCAACGCCGCGUGAGUGAUGAAGGUCUUCGGAUCGUAAAACUCUGUUAUUAGGGAAGAACAAAUGUGUAAGUAACUAUGCACGUCUUGACGGUACCUAAUCAGAAAGCCACGGCUAACUACGUG
rnacentral:rRNA from 1 species